rnacentral:rRNA from 1 species
UAACGAGGAUUCCCCUAGUAACUGCGAGUGAAGCGGGAAGAGCUCAAAUUUGUAAUCUGGUGGUCUCUGGCCACCCGAGUUGUAAUCUGUAGAGGCGUCGUCUGCGUCGGCCCGUGUACAAGUCUCCUGGGAUGGAGCGUCAUAGAGGGUGAGAAUCCCGUCCAUGACACGGACCACCGAUGCUCUGUGAGGCGCCCUCAAAGAGUCGCGUUGUUUGGGAAUGCAGCGCAAAGCGGGUGGUAAAUUCCAUCUAAGGCUAAAUAUUGGCGAGAGACCGAUAGCGAACAAGUACCGUGAGGGAAAGAUGAAAAGCACUUUGAAAAGAGAGUUAAACAGUACGUGAAAUUGUUGAAAGGGAAACGCUUGAAGUCAGUCGCGUCUCGAGGCACUCAGCCUUGCUUCGGCUCGGUGUACUUGCCUUAGGACGGGUCAACAUCAAUUUUGGCCGGUGGACAAGGGCGAGGGGAAUGUAGCGUUGUUUCGGCGACGUGUUAUAGCCCCUUGUCAGAUACAUUGGCUAGGAUUGAGGACUGCAGCACGCCCUUGUGGCCGGGGGUUCGCCUCACGUAACGUGCUUAAGAUGUUGGCAUAAUGGCUUUAAGCGACCCGUCUUGAAACACGGACCAAGGAGUCUAACAUGCUUGCGAGUGUUCGGGUGGAAAACCCUUGCGCGUAAUGAAAGUGAAAGUUGGGAGCCUCUGUAAAGAGGGGUGCACCGAUGCCCGGCUCUGACGUUUUCUGACGACGCCGCGGUAGAGCAAGCAUGUUGGGACCCGAAAGAUGGUGAACUAUGCCUGAAUAGGGCGAAGCCAGAGGAAACUCUGGUGGAGGCUCGUAGCGAUUCUGACGUGCAAAUCGAUCGUCAAAUUUGGG